rnacentral:rRNA from 1 species
CCUACGGGAGGCAGCAGUGGGGAAUCUUGCGCAAUGCGCGAAAGCGUGACGCAGCAACGCCGCGUGGGGGAAGAAGGCCUUCGGGUUGUAAACCCCUUUCAGGAGGGACGAAGGCAGGGCGGUGAACAGCCGUCCCUGCUGACGGUACCUCCAGAAGAAGCCCCGGCUAACUACGUGCCAGCAGCCGCGGUAAUACGUAGGGGGCAAGCGUUGUCCGGAAUCAUUGGGCGUAAAGCGCGCGUAGGCGGCCCGGUAAGUCCGCUCUGAAAGUCCAGGGCUCAACCCUGGAAUGCGGGUGGAUACUGCCGGGCUAGAGUCCGGAAGAGGCGAGUGGAAUUCCUGGUGUAGCGGUGGAAUGCGCAGAUAUCAGGAGGAACACCUACAGCGAAGGCAGCUCGCUGGGACGGUACUGACGCUGAGGCGCGAAAGCGUGGGGAGCG